AAAAAGCUCGUAGUCGAAUUUGUGUCUCGUACCGUCGGUUCGCCGCUCGCGGCGUUUAACUGGCGCGUCCACGGGACGUCAUGCCGGAUGGGCUUAGCUCGUUCGUUCGCGGACGGGCGGCUCAAUUUUUUAACCCGUCGCGGUGCUCUUCGUUGAGUGUCGAGGCGGGCCGGCACGUUUACUUUGAACAAAUUAGAGUGCUUAAAGCAGGCUAAAAUAUUGCCUGGAUAUUGUGUGCAUGGAAUAAUGAAAUAGGAUCUCGGUUCUAUUUUGUUGGUUUUCGGAACUCCGAGGUAAUGAUUAAUAGGAACGGAUGGGGGCAUUCGUAUUGCGACGUUAGAGGUGAAAUUCUUGGAUCGUCGCAAGACGGACUAAAGCGAAAGCAUUUGCCAAAAACGCUUUCAUUGAUCAAGAACGAAAGUUAGAGGUUCGAAGGCGAUCAGAUACCGCCCUAGUUCUAACCAUAAACGAUGCCAGCCAGCGAUCCGCCGAAGUUCCUCCGAUGACUCGGCGGGCAGCUUCCGGGAAACCAAAGCUUUUGGGUUCCGGGGGAAGUAUGGUUGCAAAGCUGAAACUUAAAGGAAUUGACGGAAGGGCACCACCAGGAGUGGAGCCUGCGGCUUAAUUUGACUCAACACGGGAAACCUCACCAGGUCCGGACACCGGAAGGAUUGACAGAUUGAGAGCUCUUUCUUGAUUCGGUGGGUGGUGGUGCAUGGCCGUUCUUAGUUGGUGGAGCGAUUUGUCUGGUUAAU
rnacentral:rRNA from 1 species